GAUGAACGCUAGCUACAGGCUUAACACAUGCAAGUCGAGGGGCAGCAUGAGGGUUAGCAAUAACUCUUGAUGGCGACCGGCGCAAGGGUGCGUAACGCGUGAGCAACUUGCCCGUUUCAGGGGGAUAACCGGUGGAAACGCCGACUAAUACCCCAUAGUAUUGGAUUGAGGCAUCUCUUUUCAAUUAAAGAACUUCGGAAACGGAUAGGCUCGCGUGACAUUAGCUAGUUGGUGGGGUAACGGCCCACCAAGGCGACGAUCAGUAGCCGGUCUGAGAGGAUGAACGGCCACAUUGGGACUGAGAUACGGCCCAGACUCCUACGGGAGGCAGCAGUGGGGAAUAUUGGGCAAUGGGCGAAAGCCUGACCCAGCAACGCCGCGUGAAGGAAGAAGGCC
rnacentral:rRNA from 1 species